GUCGAGCGGUAACAGGAGAAGCUUGCUUCUCGCUGACGAGCGGCGGACGGGUGAGUAAUACUUAGGAAUCUACCUAGUAGUGGGGGAUAGCUCGGGGAAACUCGAAUUAAUACCGCAUACGACCUACGGGAGAAAGGGGGCAACUUGUUGCUCUCGCUAUUAGAUGAGCCUAAGUCGGAUUAGCUAGAUGGUGGGGUAAAGGCCUACCAUGGCGACGAUCUGUAGCUGGUCUGAGAGGAUGAUCAGCCACACCGGGACUGAGACACGGCCCGGACUCCUACGGGAGGCAGCAGUGGGGAAUAUUGGACAAUGGGGGCAACCCUGAUCCAGCCAUGCCGCGUGUGUGAAGAAGGCCUUUUGGUUGUAAAGCACUUUAAGCAGUGAAGAAGACUCUAGGGUUAAUACCCUUAGACGAUGACAUUAGCUGCAGAAUAAGCACCGGCUAACUCUGUGCCAGCAGCCGCGGUAAUACAGAGGGUGCAAGCGUUAAUCGGAAUUACUGGGCGUAAAGCGAGCGUAGGUGGCUUGAUAAGUCAGAUGUGAAAGCCCCGGGCUCAACCUGGGAACGGCAUCUGAUACUGUUAGGCUAGAGUAGGUGAGAGGAAGGUAGAAUUCCAGGUGUAGCGGUGAAAUGCGUAGAGAUCUGGAGGAAUACCGAUGGCGAAGGCAGCCUUCUGGCAUCAUACUGACACUGAGGUUCGAAAGCGUGGGUAGCAAACAGGAUUAGAUACCCUGGUAGUCCACGCCGUAAACGAUGUCUACUAGUCGUUGGGUCCCUUGAGGACUUAGUGACGCAGCUAACGCAAUAA
rnacentral:rRNA from 1 species